rnacentral:rRNA from 1 species
AAGACAACUCUCAGCAACGGAUAUCUUGGCUCUCGCAACGAUGAAGAACGCAGCGAAAUGCGAUACGUAGUGUGAAUUGCAGAAUUCCGUGAACCAUCAAAUCUUUGAACGCAAAUUGCGCUCGAGGCUUCGGCCAAGAGCAUGUCUGCCUCAGCGUC